UCCUCGAUGGUCUAACGGUCAUGAUUUCCGCUUGUCAAGCUUACCAGCUGCGAGCGCGGGAGACCUGGGUUCGACUCCCAGUCGGGGAG
rfam:Aspergillus ustus strain 3.3904 ATSC_7, whole genome shotgun sequence.